UGGGGAAUAUUGCACAAUGGGGGAAGCCCUGAUGCAGCGACGCCGCGUGAAGGAAGAAGUAUCUCGGUAUGUAAACUUCUUUUCUCAGGGACGAAGCAAGUGACGGUACCUGAGGAAUAAGCCACGGCUAACUACGUGCCAGCAGCCGCGGUAAUACGUAGGGGGCAAGCGUUAUCCGGAUUUACUGGGUGUAAAGGGAGCGUAGACGGAUCUGCAAGUCUGGAGUGAAAGCCCGGGGCUCAACCCCGGGACUGCUUUGGAAACUGUGGAUCUAGAGUGCCGGAGAGGUAAGCGGAAUUCCUAGUGUAGCGGUGAAAUGCGUAGAUAUUAGGAGGAACACCAGUGGCGAAGGCGGCUUACUGGACGGUAACUGACGUUGAGGCUCGAAAGCGUGGGGAGCAAACAGGAUUAGAUACC
rnacentral:rRNA from 1 species